rnacentral:rRNA from 1 species
GACGAACGCUGGCGGCGUGCUUAACACAUGCAAGUCGAACGGAAAGGCCCUGCUUUUGUGGGGUGCUCGAGUGGCGAACGGGUGAGUAACACGUGAGUAACCUGCCCUUGACUUUGGGAUAACUUCAGGAAACUGGGGCUAAUACCGGAUAGGAGCUCCUGCUGCAUGGUGGGGGUUGGAAAGUUUCGGCGGUUGGGGAUGGACUCGCGGCUUAUCAGCUUGUUGGUGGGGUAGUGGCUUACCAAGGCUUUGACGGGUAGCCGGCCUGAGAGGGUGACCGGCCACAUUGGGACUGAGAUACGGCCCAGACUCCUACGGGAGGCAGCAGUGGGGAAUAUUGCACAAUGGGCGGAAGCCUGAUGCAGCAACGCCGCGUGCGGGAUGACGGCCUUCGGGUUGUAAACCGCUUUCGCCUGUGACGAAGCGUGAGUGACGGUAAUGGGUAAAGAAGCACCGGCUAACUACGUGCCAGCAGCCGCGGUGAUACGUAGGGUGCGAGCGUUGUCCGGAUUUAUUGGGCGUAAAGGGCUCGUAGGUGGUUGAUCGCGUCGGAAGUGUAAUCUUGGGGCUUAACCCUGAGCGUGCUUUCGAUACGGGUUGACUUGAGGAAGGUAGGGGAGAAUGGAAUUCCUGGUGGAGCGGUGGAAUGCGCAGAUAUCAGGAGGAACACCAGUGGCGAAGGCGGUUCUCUGGGCCUUUCCUGACGCUGAGGAGCGAAAGCGUGGGGAGCGAACAGGCUUAGAUACCCUGGUAGUCCACGCUGUAAACGGUGGGUACUAGGUGUGGGGUCCAUUCCACGGGUUCCGUGCCGUAGCUAACGCUUUAAGUACCCCGCCUGGGGAGUACGGCCGCAAGGCUAAAACUUAAAGGAAUUGACGGGGCCCCGCACAAGCGGCGGAGCAUGCGGAUUAAUUCGAUGCAACGCGUAGAACCUUACCUGGGUUUGACAUGGAUCGGGAGUGCUCAGAGAUGGGUGUGCCUCUUUUGGGGUCGGUUCACAGGUGGUGCAUGGCUGUCGUCAGCUCGUGUCGUGAGAUGUUGGGUUAAGUCCCGCAACGAGCGCAACCCUUGUUCACUGUUGCCAGCACGUUAUGGUGGGGACUCAGUGGAGACCGCCGGGGUCAACUCGGAGGAAGGUGGGGAUGACGUCAAGUCAUCAUGCCCCUUAUGUCCAGGGCUUCACGCAUGCUACAAUGGCUGGUACAGAGAGUGGCGAGCCUGUGAGGGUGAGCGAAUCUCGGAAAGCCGGUCUCAGUUCGGAUUGGGGUCUGCAACUCGACCUCAUGAAGUCGGAGUCGCUAGUAAUCGCAGAUCAGCAACGCUGCGGUGAAUACGUUCCCGGGGCU